AACGAACGCUGGCGGCAUGCCUAACACAUGCAAGUCGAACGAGACCUCCGGGUCUAGUGGCGCACGGGUGCGUAACGCGUGGGAACCUGCCCUUAGGUUCGGAAUAACUCCCCGAAAGGGGUGCUAAUACCGGAUAAUGUCUUCGGACCAAAGAUUUAUCGCCUUUGGCUGGGCCCGCGUUGGAUUAGCUAGUUGGUAGGGUAAAAGCCUACCAAGGCGACGAUCCAUAGCUGGUCGGAGAGGAUGAUCAGCCACACUGGGACUGAGACACGGCCCAGACUCCUACGGGAGGCAGCAGUGGGGAAUAUUGGACAAUGGGCGAAAGCCUGAUCCAGCCAUGCCGCGUGAGUGAUGAAGGCCUUAGGGUUGUAAAGCUCUUUUACCCGGGAUGAUAAUGACAGUACCGGGAGAAUAAGCUCCGGCUAACUCCGUG
rnacentral:rRNA from 1 species